rnacentral:rRNA from 1 species
AACGAACGCUGGCGGCAUGCCUAACACAUGCAAGUCGAACGAGACCCCUGACUUCGGUUGGCGGGUCUAGUGGCGCACGGGUGCGUAACGCGUGGGAAUCUGCCCUUGGGUUCGGAAUAACUCAGAGAAAUUUGAGCUAAUACCGGAUGAUGACGAAAGUCCAAAGAUUUAUCGCCCAGGGAUGAGCCCGCGUAAGAUUAGCUUGUUGGUGGGGUAAUGGCCUACCAAGGCGACGAUCUUUAGCUGGUCUGAGAGGAUGAUCAGCCACACUGGGACUGAGACACGGCCCAGACUCCUACGGGAGGCAGCAGUGGGGAAUAUUGGACAAUGGGCGCAAGCCUGAUCCAGCAAUGCCGCGUGAGUGAUGAAGGCCUUAGGGUUGUAAAGCUCUUUUACCAGGGAUGAUAAUGACAGUACCUGGAGAAUAAGCUCCGGCUAACUCCGUGCCAGCAGCCGCGGUAAAGUCUGUACU